rnacentral:rRNA from 1 species
UACAGAGGGUGCGAGCGUUAAUCGGAAUUACUGGGCGUAAAGCGCACGUAGGCGGCUUGGUAUGUCGGGUGUGAAAUCCCCGGGCUCAACCUGGGAACUGCAUCCGAAACUGCCCUGCUAGAGUAUGGGAGAGGGAAGUGGAAUUUCCGGUGUAGCGGUGAAAUGCGUAGAUAUCGGAAGGAACAUCAGUGGCGAAGGCGACUUCCUGGACCAAUACUGACGCUCAGGUGCGAAAGCGUGGGGAGCGAACAGG